AUUGAACGCUGGCGGAAUGCUUUACACAUGCAAGUCGAACGGCAGCACGGACUUCGGUCUGGUGGCGAGUGGCGAACGGGUGAGUAAUGUAUCGGAAUGUGCCCAGUCGUGGGGGAUAACGUAGUGAAAAUUACGCUAAUACCGCAUACGAUCUAUGGAUGAAAGCGGGGGAUCGCAAGACCUCGCGCGAUUGGAGCGGCCGAUAUCAGAUUAGGUAGUUGGUGGGGUAAAGGCCCACCAAGCCAACGAUCUGUAGCUGGUCUGAGAGGACGACCAGCCACACUGGAACUGGGACACGGUCCAGACUCCUACGGGAGGCAGCAGUGAGGAAUUUUGGAAAAUGGGCGAAAGCCUGAUCCAGCCAUUCCGCGUGCAGGAUGAAAGCCCUCGGGUUGUAAACUGCUUUUGUACAGAACGAAAAGGUUUCUACUAAUACUAGGAGCUCAUGACGGUACUGUAAGAAUAAGCACCGGCUAACUACGUGCCAGCCGCCGCCGUAA
rnacentral:rRNA from 1 species